rnacentral:piRNA from 1 species
UCCCUUUAGCCUUAAUUGUGCCCAUUCUCU